rnacentral:rRNA from 1 species
UACGUAGGAUGCAAGCGUUGUCCGGAAUUAUUGGGCGUAAAGAGUUUGUAGGCGGUUGCUUAAGUCUGUCGUUAAAGGUCGGAGCUCAACUCCGGUAUGGCGAUGGAAACUGGGCGGCUAGAGUAUGACAGAGGUAACUGGAAUUCCAGGUGUAGCGGUGAAAUGCGUAGAUAUCUGGAGGAACACCAGUGGCGAAAGCGGGUUACUGGGUCAUUACUGACGCUGAAGAACGAAAGCCAGGGUAGCAAAAGGG